rnacentral:lncRNA from 1 species
GAAGGAUUCUGAUUGGUCCUGCUUCAGUCACAUGCUUGCAUCUUAGUCCAAUCACUGUGGCCUGGAGGAUGGGACACCAUGAUUUGCAAGACUCUGGUCACAUGCCCACACCUGUGGCUUCUGAAGCAGAGCACCAGCAGUGACAGUCCCACCAGAACCGCAUGGAAUAGAAAACUGUGCAUUUCCCUAAGGAAAGGGAAUGCCAGAGAAGGGCAGAAGGGAAAUCAGGAAGACAAAACGGUAAAUUACCUACCACAAAUCCAAUUCAUUGGUAUUUUUCCACUUACACUUAACCAAGCAACGAUUUCUCCUGGUCCCAUAAUGGAAAAGAGGGUUUAUCUAGAUUCAUAUAUACAAGACUGAAGAGUGAAGAGAGACCCAGAGAAUGUUCUAAAAUCUGCCAGUUAGCAUAAUCACACAGAGAAAUCUCUGCUUCCAGAGGAGGAGCCAAGUUCAAGUCAGAGUGUCUUCAUGUUGGAGUGGACCUUUCCUCUAUCUGUCAACAGAAUGGAUAAAUUGUGGAAGAGUAAUAUCAGAAUACUACACAUCAGUAAAAAACAACAAACUUCUGCUACAAACAAUCAACAUCGAUGAAUCUUUCAGGCAAAAGGUUAUAGAAACAGAUGAUCAGUGGCCCACGGAUUCCAGGUGAGGAUCUGGGACCCAGACAUCCAGAUAUUGAAAACACAGGGAUGGAGUCUGUAUGGAAAAAAUUAAAAUAUAGCAAAAUGUGAAAUACGGAAGAGAAAUCUUUCAAUUUCCCAAUGGAAGUGAGAAAAGAGCAAAGAAAAGUAUUGGUCUUCCAAAACAAAUAGAGGACGGAGCUGCUGCUGUUGCAUGGUGUCUAGAAACUCAGACAACUUCAUCAUUCCAUAUUUGCAUCCAAGAGAGAGAAAGAAAAACUACAAUCAUUUUCCAUUUACCCAUCAACCCAUCAACCUCCAAAUAAAGGCUAUUAAAAAACAAUCAAAGUGUGAAGAGGGCAGAAAAUGUGAUGAAGAGAUUCUUUGGAGAAAGUAGCUGCCACUGUUACCUUGGGAUCUGCCUAUAGUCCUCACAGAGCUUGGU